UUCUGUCGAUUUAUGCUACUUUGUCGAAAAAUGCUACCGUAGCACAAAUCGAUAGCAGAGUCUAUCGAUUUACGCUACCGCAUCGAAAAAUGCUACUUUAUGGUUUCCUUUUUAAAUGGUGUAUUUCCCAUAACAGUACAUGUUUCAUAGUAAUAUAGCAUUUGUAUUAUCAUCCUUUAAAUUAAAAAGAAAAAUAUGUAGGGCAAGGUUUCAUGCUAUUUAUCAAAUUUAUGAGAAAAUUUGUUUCCCUUAUCACAUGAUGCUCCCAGUGCAAAAUCUCAUAAUAUUACAUCAAUACUCAGUCUUUGUGCACAGUUUGAAUAUGGGGAGCAUGGUUUGAUACUCUAUUAUAUUAGCUUUAAUUAAAAUAUCAAGGGUAGCAUAAUUCGAUACACUAAGGUGCCCUAUCGAAAAAUGCUCCCAGUGCAGAAUCUCAUAAUAUUACAUCAAUACUCAGUCUUUGUGCACAGUUUGAAUAUGGGGAGCAUGGUUUGAUACUCUAUUAUAUUAGCUUUAAUUAAAAUAUCAAGAGUAGCAUAAUUCGAUACACUAAGGUGCCCUAUCGAAAAAUGCUCCCAGUGCAGAAUAUCAUGAUUUCACGUCAAUACUCAGUCUUUGUGCACAGUUUGAAUAUGGGGAGCAUGGUUUGAUACUCUAUUAUAUUAGCUUUCAUUAAAAUAUCAAGAGUAGCAUAAUUCGAUACACUAAGGUGCCCUAUCGAAAAAUGCUCCCAGUGCAGAAUAUCAUGAUUUCACGUCAAUACUCAGUCUUUGUGCACAGUUUGAAUAUGGGGAGCAUGGUUUGAUACUCUAUUAUAUUAGCUUUAAUUAAAAUAUCAAGGGUAGCAUAAUUCGAUACACUAAGGUGCCCUAUCGAAAAAUGCUCCCAGUGCAGAAUAUCAUGAUUUCACGUCAAUACUCAGUCUUUGUGCACAGUUUGAAUAUGGGGAGCAUGGUUUGAUACUCUAUUAUAUUAGCUUUAAUUAAAAUAUCAAGAGUAGCAUAAUUCGAUACACUAAGGUGCCCUAUCGAAAAAUGCUCCCAGUGCAGAAUCUCAUAAUAUUACAUCAAUACUCAGUCUUUGUGCACAGUUUGAAUAUGGGGAGCAUGGUUUGAUACUCUAUUAUAUUAGCUUUCAUUAAAAUAUCAAGAGUAGCAUAAUUCGAUACACUAAGGUGCCCUAUCGAAAAAUGCUCCCAGUGCAGAAUAUCAUGAUUUCACGUCAAUACUCAGUCUUUGUGCACAGUUUGAAUAUGGGGAGCAUGGUUUGAUACUCUAUUAUAUUAGCUUUCAUUAAAAUAUCAAGAGUAGCAUAAUUCGAUACACUAAGGUGCCCUAUCGAAAAAUGCUCCCAGUGCAGAAUCUCAUAAUAUUACAUCAAUACUCAGUCUUUGUGCACAGUUUGAAUAUGGGGAGCAUGGUUUGAUACUCUAUAGUCUAUACUUACACUGAACAAAAAUAUAAGUCUAAGGCACACCUGUGCAAUAUUCAUGCUGUCUAAUCAGCACCUUCAUAUGCCACACCUGUGAGGUGGGAUGGAUUAUCUCGGCAAAGGAGAAGUGCUUACUAACACAGAUUUAGACAGAUUUGUGAACAAUAUUUGAGAGUAAUGGGUCUUUUGUGUAUGUAGAAAAUGUUUCAGAUCUUUGAGUUCAGCUCAUGCAAAAUGGGAGCAAAAUCGAAAGUGUUGCAUUUAUAUUUUUGUUCAGUGUAUAUUAGCAUGUUUUUUAAAUUGUAUGUGUAGCAUAAUUUGAUAGACUAAUAUCCCUUAUAAAAUAAUGCUUACAGUGCAACACAAAGUGAUUUUGUGCUAUUAGGAUGGCAUCAAAUUAUCUGUAAUGUUUUGUUCUAUACCAAAAAUUAUAUGUAUCAAUUUAUAACAAAUCUAAA